rnacentral:rRNA from 1 species
AAACAAAGACAUUAAAAUACAACAAUGUUCGCCAGGACACUACAAGCAUAAGCUUAAAACCCAAAGGACCUGACGGUGCCUUAGAUCCCCCUAGAGGAGCCUGUUCUAGAACCGAUUAUCCCCGUUAAACCUCACCAUUUCUAGUAAUAUCAGCCUAUAUACCACCGUCGCCAGCUUACCCUGUGAAGGUAAAACAGUAAGCAAAAUGGGUAUAACCCAAUAAGUCAGGUCGAGGUGUAGCACAUGAAAUGGGAAGAAAUGGGCUACAUUUUCUAUUAAUAGAAUAUAACGAAUAUGUAACAUGAAAUAAUACUUGAAGGAGGAUUUAGUAGUAAAAGAGAAAUAGAGUGUCUCUUUGAACCCGGCUCUAAGGCGCGUACACACCGCCCGUCACCCUC